rnacentral:rRNA from 1 species
AGAGUUUGAUCCUGGCUCAGAUUGAACGCUGGCGGCGUGCUUAACACAUGCAAGUCGAACGGGAACUCUGAACUGAAGGUUCGCUGGAUGUUUAGAAAUUCUAGUGGCGGACGGGUGAGUAACGCGUGGGUAACCUGCCUAUAAGACGUGAACAACAGUUAGAAAUGACUGCUAAUACACGAUAAGCACACAGUAUCGCAUGAUAUAGUGUGAAAAGAAUUUCGCUUAUAGAUGGACCCGCGUUUGAUUAGCCAGUUGGUGGGGUAACGGCCUACCAAAGCAACGAUCAAUAGCCGGCCUGAGAGGGCGAUCGGCCACAUUGGGACUGAGACACGGCCCAAACUCCUACGGGAGGCAGCAGUGGGGAAUAUUGGACAAUGGGGGCAACCCUGAUCCAGCAACGCCGCGUGAGUGAUGAAGUAUCUUGGUAUGUAAAGCUCUAUCAGUAGGUAUGAAACAAGACAGCCUAACUAAGAAGCCCCGGCUAACUACGUGCCAGCAGCCGCGGUAAUACGUAGGGGGCAAGCGUUAUCCGGAUUUACUGGGUGUAAAGGGAGCGUAGACGGAAUGGCAAGUCUGAAGUGAAAACCCACGGCUCAACCGUGGACCUGCUUUGGAAACUGUUAAUCUAGAGUACUGGAGGGGUAAGCGGAAUUCCUAGUGUAGCGGUAAAAUGCGUAGAUAUUAGGAAGAACACCAGAGGCGAAGGCGGCUUACUGGACAGUUACUGACGUUGAGGCUCGAAAGCGUGGGGAGCAAACAGGAUUAGAUACCCUGGUAGUCCACGCUGUAAACGAUGAAUACUAGACGUUGGGCGGGGUUAACCUGCUCAGUGUCGCAGCAAACGCGAUAAGUAUUCCACCUGGGGAGUACGUUCGCAAGAAUGAAACUCAAAGGAAUUGACGGGGACCCGCACAAGCGGUGGAGCAUGUGGUUUAAUUCGACGCAACGCGAAGAACCUUACCUGAACUUGACAUCCCCUUGAAUAGGUAUGUAAUGUAUCUAGUCUUCGGACAAGGGAGACAGGUGGUGCAUGGUUGUCGUCAGCUCGUGUCGUGAGAUGUUGGGUUAAGUCCCGCAACGAGCGCAACCCUUAUGUAUAGUAGCCAUCAUUCAGUUGGGCACUCUAUACAGACUGCCGAGGUUAACUCGGAGGAAGGUGGGGAUGACGUCAAAUCAUCAUGCCCCUUACGUCCAGGGCUACACACGUGCUACAAUGGCGUAAACAAAGAGAAGCAAAGGAGUGAUCCGGAGCAAAUCUCAAAAAAUGCGUCUCAGUUCGGAUUGAAGUCUGCAACUCGACUUCAUGAAGUCGGAAUCGCUAGUAAUCGCGAAUCAGAAUGUCGCGGUGAAUACGUUCCCGGGUCUUGUACACACCGCCCGUCACACCAUGGGAGCUUUAAAUACCCGAAAUCAGUGUCCUAACUUAAUUGAGGGAGCUGCUGAAGGUAGGUAAAGUGACUGGGGUGAAGUCGUAACAAGGUAGCC